UAGUUUGCUUGCAAACUAAAGAUGGCGACCGGCGCACGGGUGAGUAACACGUAUCCAACCUGCCGAUAACUCGGGGAUAGCCUUUCGAAAGAAAGAUUAAUAUCCGAUAGUAUAUUUUCUCCGCAUGGCGAGAAUAUUAAAGAAUUUCGGUUAUGAUGGGGAUGCGUUCCAUUAGUUUGUUGGCGGGGUAACGGCCCACCAAGACUACGAUGGAUAGGGGUUCUGAGAGGAAGGUCCCCCACAUUGGAACUGAGACACGGUCCAAACUCCUACGGGAGGCAGCAGUGAGGAAUAUUGGUCAAUGGACGAGAGUCUGAACCAGCCAAGUAGCGUGAAGGACGACUGCCCUAUGGGUGUAAACUUCUUUUAUAUGGGAAUAAAGUAUUCCCGUGUGGGAUUUUGUAUGUACCAUAUGAAUAAGGAUCGGCUAACUCCGUGCCAGCAGCCGCGGUAAUACGGAGGAUCCGAGCGUUAUCCGGAUUUAUUGGGUUUAAAGGGAGCGUAGGUGGAUUGUUAAGUCAGUUGUGAAAGUUUGCGGCUCAACCGUAAAAUUGCAGUUGAAACUGGCAGUCUUGAGUACAGUAGAGGUGGGCGGAAUUCGUGGUGUAGCGGUGAAAUGCUUAGAUAUCACGAAGAGCUCCGAUUGCGAAGGCAGCUCACUAUACUGCAACUGACCUGAUGCUCGAAAGUGUGGGUAUCAAACAGGAUUAGAUACCCUGGUAGUCCACACAGUAAACGAUGAAUACUCGCUGUUUCGAUAUACAGUAAGCGGCCAAGCGAAAGCAUUAAGUAUUCCACCUGGGGAGUACGCCGGCAACGGUGAAACUCAAAGGAAUUGACGGGGGCCCGCACAAGCGGAGGAACAUGUGGUUUAAUUCGAUGAUACGCGAGGAACCUUACCCGGGCUUAAAUUGCAUUUGAAUAAUCUGGAAACAGGUUAGCCGCAAGGCAAAUGUGAAGGUGCUGCAUGGUUGUCGUCAGCUCGUGCCGUGAGGUGUCGGCUUAAGUGCCAUAACGAGCGCAACCCUUAUCUUUAGUUACUAACAGGUCAUGCUGAGGACUCUAGAGAGACUGCCGUCGUAAG
rnacentral:rRNA from 1 species